GAUGAACGCUGGCGGCGUGCCUAAUACAUGCAAGUCGAGCGAACGGACGAGAAGCUUGCUUCUCUGAUGUUAGCGGCGGACGGGUGAGUAACACGUGGAUAACCUACCUAUAAGACUGGGAUAACUUCGGGAAACCGGAGCUAAUACCGGAUAAUAUUUUGAACCGCAUGGUUCAAAAGUGAAAGACGGUCUUGCUGUCACUUAUAGAUGGAUCCGCGCUGCAUUAGCUAGUUGGUAAGGUAACGGCUUACCAAGGCAACGAUGCAUAGCCGACCUGAGAGGGUGAUCGGCCACACUGGAACUGAGACACGGUCCAGACUCCUACGGGAGGCAGCAGUAGGGAAUCUUCCGCAAUGGGCGAAAGCCUGACGGAGCAACGCCGCGUGAGUGAUGAAGGUCUUCGGAUCGUAAAACUCUGUUAUUAGGGAAGAACAUAUGUGUAAGUAACUGUGCACAUCUUGACGGUACCUAAUCAGAAAGCCACGGCUAACUACGUGCCAGCAGCCGCGGUAAUACGUAGGUGGCAAGCGUUAUCCGGAAUUAUUGGGCGUAAAGCGCGCGUAGGCGGUUUUUUAAGUCUGAUGUGAAAGCCCACGGCUCAACCGUGGAGGGUCAUUGGAAACUGGAAAACUUGAGUGCAGAAGAGGAAAGUGGAAUUCCAUGUGUAGCGGUGAAAUGCGCAGAGAUAUGGAGGAACACCAGUGGCGAAGGCGACUUUCUGGUCUGUAACUGACGCUGAUGUGCGAAAGCGUGGGGAUCAAACAGGAUUAGAUACCCUGGUAGUCCACGCCGUAAACGAUGAGUGCUAAGUGUUAGGGGGUUUCCGCCCCUUAGUGCUGCAGCUAACGCAUUAAGCACUCCGCCUGGGGAGUACGACCGCAAGGUUGAAACUCAAAGGAAUUGACGGGGACCCGCACAAGCGGUGGAGCAUGUGGUUUAAUUCGAAGCAACGCGAAGAACCUUACCAAAUCUUGACAUCCUUUGACAACUCCAGAGAUAGAGCUUUCCCCUUCGGGGGACAAAGUGACAGGUGGUGCAUGGUUGUCGUCAGCUCGUGUCGUGAGAUGUUGGGUUAAGUCCCGCAACGAGCGCAACCCUUAAGCUUAGUUGCCAUCAUUAAGUUGGGCACUCUAAGUUGACUGCCGGUGACAAACCGGAGGAAGGUGGGGAUGACGUCAAAUCAUCAUGCCCCUUAUGAUUUGGGCUACACACGUGCUACAAUGGACAAUACAAAGGGCAGCGAAACCGCGAGGUCAAGCAAAUCCCAUAAAGUUGUUCUCAGUUCGGAUUGUAGUCUGCAACUCGACUACAUGAAGCUGGAAUCGCUAGUAAUCGUAGAUCAGCAUGCUACGGUGAAUACGUUCCCGGGUCU
rnacentral:rRNA from 1 species